CCUACGGGUGGCAGCAGUGAGGAAUAUUGGUCAAUGGACGAGAGUCUGAACCAGCCAAGUAGCGUGAAGGCUGACUGCCCUAUGGGUUGUAAACUUCUUUUAUAUGGGAAUAAAACAGGGUAUGCAUACCCUUUUGUAUGUACUUUAUGAAUAAGGAUCGGCUAACUCCGUGCCAGCAGCCGCGGUAAUACGGAGGAUCCGAGCGUUAUCCGGCUUUGUUGGGUUUAAAGUGAGCGUAGAUUGAUUGUUAAGUCCGUUGUGAAAGUUUGCGGCUCAACCGUAAAAUUGCAAGUGAUACUUGCAGUCUUGAGUACAGUAGAGGUAGGCUGAAGUCGUGGGGUAGCGGUGAAAUGCUUAGAUAUCACGAAGAACUCCGAGUGCGAAGGCAGCUCACUAAACUGUAACGGACAUUGAUGCUCGAAAGUGUGGGUAUCAAACAGGAUUAGAUACCCCAGUAGUC
rnacentral:rRNA from 1 species